rnacentral:rRNA from 1 species
CCUACGGGUGGCAGCAGUGGGGAAUAUUGGGCAAUGGAGGCAACUCUGACCCAGCAACGCCGCGUGAAUGAUGAAGGUCCUCGGAUUGUAAAGUUCUUUUCUAAGGGAAGUAGAAAGUGACGCUACCUUAGGAAUAAGUCUCGGCGAACUACGUGACAGCAGACGCGGUAAUACGGAGGAGGCAAGCGUUAUUCGGAAGGAUUGGGCGUAAAGGGUGCGUAGGUGGUUUGACAAGUUAGUAGCGCAACUCCGGGGGCCAACUUCGGAACUACGACGAAAACUGUUGGACUUGAGUGCAGGAGAGGCAAGCGGAAUUCCUGGUGUAGCGGUGAAAUGCGUAGAUAUUAGGAAGAACGCCAGUGGCGAAGGCAGAUUGCUGGACUGUAACUGACGCUGAGGCACGAAAGCGUGGGGAGCGAACAGGAUUAGAUACCCCAGUAGUC